CGUAGUCGAUGGGAAACAGGUUAAUAUUCCUGUACUUGGUGUUACUGCGAAGGGGGGACGGAGAAGGCUAUGUUGGCCGGGCGACGGUUGUCCCGGUUUAAGCGUGUAGGCUGGUUUUCCAGGCAAAUCCGGAAAAUCAAGGCUGAGGCGUGAUGACGAGGCACUACGGUGCUGAAGCAACAAAUGCCCUGCUUCCAGGAAAAGCCUCUAAGCAUCAGGUAACAUCAAAUCGUACCCCAAACCGACACAGGUGGUCAGGUAGAGAAUACCAAGGCGCUUGAGAGAACUCGGGUGAAGGAACUAGGCAAAAUGGUGCCGUAACUUCGGGAGAAGG
rnacentral:rRNA from 1 species